AUGUUCUUGUGGACAUUAGGGGGUUGCGAGUCUAAUAGAAGAACACAAAAUCGUUUCAAGCACUCAGGAGAUACAGUCCACCGGAAGUUUCAUGAGGUUUUACUCUGUGUGAUUAAGAUGGCAGCAGAUUACCUCAAACCUAAGGACCCAAACUUUAGUAGUGUGCACCCAAAGAUUCGGAAGGAUAGAAGGGCUUAUCCCCAUCUUAAGGACUGCAUUGGUGCACUAGAUGGUACUCAUGUCAGAGCUUCUAUUCCCGCUGACGACCAAGUUAGAUACAUUGGAAGGUCAGGAUCAACAACUUUGAAUGUUCUGGCAAUAUGUGAUUUUGACAUGCAUUUCAUGUACACCUCAGUUGGUCAACCUGGUUCUAUGCAUGAUACUAGUGUCUUGUAUCAUGCAAUUGAAGUUGACAAAGAUACCUUUCCUCAUCCUCCAAAGGGUAAGUACUAUCUUGUGGACGCAGGCUAUCCUAAUAGACCUGGAUAUCUAGCACCUUACAAGGGAGAGAGGUAUCACGUGCCUGAUUUUCAUCGAGGUGUGGCGCCAAGAACACCUAAGGAGAAAUUUAACAAGAUACACUCAUCCAAGCGUAAUGUGAUCGAGAGAGCGUUUGGCGUGUGGAAAAUGAAGUGGCAGAUUCUACUAAAGAUGCCCAAUUAUUCAGUUGAAACUCAAAAGAUGAUAGUGGCUGCAACUAUGAUCCUUCACAACUAUGUUCGAUAUCAUGAUAAGGGUGAUCUUCACUUUCUUCGAGUCGACAGAGAUCCCAACUAUGUCCCAACUAGACCUUCAAGGUAUCAACGGUACGCCAUCCAUCCAAAUGCAUCAGACGCGUCAACCUCAGAGGCUAGCGAUAAAGACAUGGACCGGUUCCGUAAUAAACUAGCAACUGAUAUUGCUCUUGGUUGGUGA
rnacentral:rRNA from 1 species